GACGAACGCUGGCGGCGUGCUUAACACAUGCAAGUCGAACGGAAAGGCCCUGCUUGCAGGGUCCUCGAGUGGCGAACGGGUGAGUAACACGUGGGUGAUCUGCCCUGCACUUCGGGAUAAGCCUGGGAAACUGGGUCUAAUACCGGAUAGGAGCCAUUUUUAGUGUGAUGGUUGGAAAGUUUUUUCGGUGUAGGAUGAGCUCGCGGCCUAUCAGCUUGUUGGUGGGGUAAUGGCCUACCAAGGCGGCGACGGGUAGCCGGCCUGAGAGGGUGGACGGUCACAUUGGGACUGAGAUACGGCCCAGACUCCUACGGGAGGCAGCAGUGGGGAAUAUUGCACAAUGGGCGCAAGCCUGAUGCAGCGACGCCGCGUGGGGGAUGACGGCCUUCGGGUUGUAAACUCCUUUCGCUAGGGACGAAGCUUUUUGUGACGGUACCUAGAUAAGAAGCACCGGCUAACUACGUG
rnacentral:rRNA from 1 species